rnacentral:rRNA from 1 species
UAGGGAAUCUUCCGCAAUGGGCGAAAGCCUGACGGAGCAACGCCGCGUGAGUGAUGAAGGUCUUAGGAUCGUAAAACUCUGUUAUUAGGGAAGAACAAACGUGUAAGUAACUGUGCACGUCUUGACGGUACCUAAUCAGAAAGCCACGGCUAACUACGUGCCAGCAGCCGCGGUAAUACGUAGGUGGCAAGCGUUAUCCGGAAUUAUUGGGCGUAAAGCGCGCGUAGGCGGUAUUUUAAGUCUGAUGUGAAAGCCCACGGCUCAACCGUGGAGGGUCAUUGGAAACUGGAAAACUUGAGUGCAGAAGAGGAAAGUGGAAUUCCAUGUGUAGCGGUGAAAUGCGCAGAGAUAUGGAGGAACACCAGUGGCGAAGGCGACUUUCUGGUCUGUAACUGACGCUGAUGUGCGAAAGCGUGGGGAUCAAACA